rnacentral:rRNA from 1 species
AAGGCGGUUCUCUGGACCUUUCCUGACGCUGAGGAGCGAAAGCGUGGGGAGCGAACAGGCUUAGAUACCCUGGUAGUCCACGCUGUAAACGGUGGGUACUAGGUGUGGGGUCCAUUCCACGGAUUCUGUGCCGUAGCUAACGCAUUAAGUACCCCGCCUGGGGAGUACGGCCGCAAGGCUAAAACUCAAAGGAAUUGACGGGGCCCCGCACAAGCGGCGGAGCAUGCGGAUUAAUUCGAUGCAACGCGAAGAACCUUACCUGGGUUUGACAUGGAUCGGGAGCUUCCAGAGAUGGUUGUGCCUCUUUUGGGGUCGGUUCACAGGUGGUGCAUGGCUGUCGUCAGCUCGUGUCGUGAGAUGUUGGGUUAAGUCCCGCAACGAGCGCAACCCUCGUCCACUGUUGCCAGCAAUUCGGUUGGGGACUCAGUGGAGACCGCCGGGGUCAACUCGGAGGAAGGUGGGGAUGACGUCAAGUCAUCAUGCCCCUUAUGUCCAGGG